UCAAGAGUGUAUAACCCCACUUGUAAAAUAGUGGGGUUAACCUCCCGUCCUUUGCCUGGUAUCCCCCCUAAAAACUUUUUUUUGGGGGAUGGGGGUACACUUUGAUUUCUGCUUCGGUGGGGUUUUAACCCACCGGAACAACCUCAAAAAUAUUCUUUAUUCAAGACCGUUCAGUCCGAGAAUUAUUUUUUAAAUUGAUGA
rnacentral:misc_RNA from 1 species